GUCGAAAGGAAACGCUUAGUGGGGCUCGGACCCAGGCCCGGGAUCUUGACUCGCAGACCAGGGCCAGCCCCAGUUUGGUUCUUGGAACCUCUGUGUAGCCCUUGCCUUUACGGGCUCCAGCUUCCGUGUCUACACAGAGAUGGAGAGACUAGUGAUUUCUCUGACUGCCCCUAGCUGUCUCAGUUCCUGUGCUGGGCUUGGUGGUUGCCCGAGGUGGGGGGCCAGGCAGAAGCCUGGGUGUGGCAGAUCUGGGGGGCCCGUGGGGAAGUCCCGAAGGCUGCCUCUUUUGCAAAAGGAGCCAGAAACUGUCACACGUGACAGACGUAAGGUACUUACCAAUGGGCUCAGCCUUUUGGAAAGAAGUUGGUGAAAGACUGACUUUGGAAAGGAGAGCGUUUUUUUCUUCCAGGUUCUUCUCAUUUAUAAUCCACCCACUUCCUUUUCCUUUCAUAAAUAUGAUGUACGUGAGCGGAGUGAUCUGAAUAUCUUCCUAGCUCCAGAAGCUUGACAAUAUUUUCACAUCGAUGUCGCAUUCCAUAAAUCAGGCCCUGCGGCGUAGGGAGGGAGGGAGGGGCCCUAACCCCCCCCCCCCCCACUCCUGCAGUGCUGCCAGUGCAGGCUCCUGGGCUGGGCCCGCUCACCUGGCUCACAAGUCCUCACUUGUGAAAACAGAAAUCAGUAGAAGGGAAGUUCUUCAGAGAGAAAGGGAUCGUGGAGAAGCUAGCGGUACUUGCGCAGCCCUGGGAAGGCCCCAGCACAGCAGAGCCCUCUUACCUGGGCUGCACCUGAUUAAGCAUUCCCUGCCCUCCGCAGCAGUUCCAGUACAUAGAAGUCCCAGGCAACCACUACGUGCACCUGAACCAACCUCAGAACGUGGCUGACAUCAUCAGUGCCUUUCUGCAGAGCAAGGAGAUGAUCCCACACUAGCUGUAGCCUGGACCUCGGGCUUUGGAGGCCUCGUGCCCAUCACUCACCACCUGGAUUCCUAGUUCUCAGGCCCUCCAGCCAGGAGAUCAGCAAUAUGGUACAUGACUGUGAUAGCACAUUCGUAUAAUGGAAUACUUCGUAGUCAUUACAAAUGCUGUUAAAGGUUAAUAUAUUUUGGUAAGAGAUGUUCUAGUGUAUUGUGUGAUACAAAAGGCAGG
rnacentral:lncRNA from 1 species